AGCAGUGUGGCUUAGUGGAAAGAGCCCGGACUUGGGAGUCAGAGAUCAUGAGUUCGAAUCUCACCUCUGCCA
rnacentral:tRNA from 1 species